rnacentral:lncRNA from 1 species
UUCUAAUGAUGGGCGGCAGCCAGAAAGCCCUGGGCUAAACAGCGCCAGUAAACACAGUGUAAAUAGUUGUUUGUACCGCGGGACACAGGAGAGAGGCGCUCAACACAGCAGGAAAGAUGUCUGAAUCAACUGCUUUCUUAGGCUUGAAGGCCCACUUUUAGCAAACCAAGAGUUGUGACUCAAAAUCCAUUAAAACAACUCCCACGUGGCAUCUUCCAUCCACGGGGAACCCCAAACAGGAACACCAGGGGGACUCCAUGCACAGUAAAGAUAGCAACAGCUUGGUGUAUCAGUUCCCCCCGGAUGAGAGCAUCAGUGAUUGCAGGCCGGCUGUCCAUAGGGGAGCCUCUAGCCCCUAUAUGGCUUUUUGCGUUAAAUCAAUCAAAAUUAAAUACUAUUGAAAUUC